rfam:Glycine max cultivar Williams 82 chromosome 14, whole genome shotgun sequence.
GACCUAUUAGCUUAGUUGGUUAGAGCGUCAUACUAAUAAUGCGAAAGUCACAGGUUUCAUUCCUGCUUGGGCCA